rnacentral:misc_RNA from 1 species
AGAAACAAUGAUCCCGGCUCUGUUCAGAGGGAAGAGUGCAGAAUUUAGCCCACCAUUAAUGGAAUUAGAUGCACAAGAAGCAACAGCCUCAUCUCUCUUUGAAGUUGAUACAGAAAUGACCUCGGAAUCCAAGUCAUUAAUAAGGGGAGAUUCAUCAGAGACAAUGAUCCCGGCUCAGUUUGGAGAAACAACCUCGGAAUCCAAGUCAUUAACAGAGGAAGAUCCGUCAGAAACAAUGAUCCCGGCUCUGUUCAGAG